rnacentral:rRNA from 1 species
GGUGCGUAACACGUUGAGGAACUUGUCCAACGGUGGGGGAUAGCCGGCCCAACGGCCGGGUAAUACCGCAUCCGCUCGUUUGGGGACAUCCCUGGGCGAGGAAAGCAGCCGCAAGGUUGCGCCGAUGGAGAGCCUCGCGGCGUAUCAGCUAGUUGGCGGGGUAACGGCCCACCAAGGCUACGACGCGUAGCUGGUCUGAGAGGAUGGCCAGCCACAUUGGGACUGAGACACGGCCCAGACUCCUACGGGAGGCAGCAGUGGGGAAUAUUGCGCAAUGGCCGAAAGGCUGACGCAGCGACGCCGCGUGUGGGAUGACGGCCCUCGGGUUGUAAACCACUGUCGGGGGGGACGAAUACGGGGCCUCGAAUAGGGGACCCUGGGUGACGGUACCUCCAAAGGAAGCACCGGCCAACUACGUGCCAGCAGCCGCGG